rnacentral:lncRNA from 1 species
GCCAAAUGGUAUAAGGGAGCCAAGGGAGAAAAAAGGAGUGAGAGGACGAGGGGGCCUAGAGCUGAGCCCUAAGAGUUUUCAGAUUUAAAGGUUUGGUAAAGUAGAUUGAGCCCACUGGAGAGAUUAAGAAGGAGAAACCAGAGGAGUGUGUGAUACAGAUGCCAACAGAAGAGAAUGCUUCGAGAAGGCAGCAUAGUCAACCAUGUCAGAUGUUAUAAUGAAAAGAUAAAAGACUGCAAAUUGCCCAUGGGAUAUACCCGCCUAGGUCAUCGACGAAGUUCUGUGGAGUGGUGGGGGCGUACACCAGAUUGGAGGGAACUGAGAGAGGAGAAUAAGGAACACUCUUUGGAUCACAAGAAAAAAUAUGAAACUUGGACCCUGACCUCAAGGAGUUGAUGAUUCAUCAUAGGUAUUCUCUAUGACUCCUUUUUCAUCGUGAAGGUCCAUUGGCAAUCUUCCUGGAUUGUGUGAAUCCUCCGAACAGAAAUUUGCCUCCCCGUGUUCUUAUAUGUGCAUUUUGGACCCUGCCUUUAUCUUUAACUUCAUUUAUGUAUUAUGGACUUAUUU